AUUGAACGUUGGCGGCAGGCUUAACACAUGCAAGUCGAGCGGGGUGAUGGUGCUUGCACUAUCACUUAGCGGCGGACGGGUGAGUAAUGCUUAGGAAUCUGCCUAUUGGUGGGGGACAACAUCUCGAAAGGGCUGCUAAUACCGCAUACGUCUUACGGGAGAAAGCAGGGGAUCACUUGUGACCUUGCGGUAAUAGAUGAGCCUAAGUCGGAUUAGCUAGUUGGUGGGGUAAAGGCCUACCAAGGCGACGAUCUGUAGCGGGUCUGAGAGGAUGAUCCGCCACACUGGGACUGAGACACGGCCCAGACUCCUACGGGAGGCAGCAGUGGGGAAUAUUGGACAAUGGGGGGAACCCUGAUCCAGCCAUGCCGCGUGUGUGAAGAAGGCCUUAUGGUUGUAAAGCACUUUAAGCGAGGAGGAGGCUCUUUUGGUUAAUACCCAAGAUGAGUGGACGUUACUCGCAGAAUAAGCACCGGCUAACUCUGUGCCAGCCGCCGCCGUAA
rnacentral:rRNA from 1 species